AACAUCGCGCACCUGCGGGAACCUGCGGAAGGAUCAUUACAGAGUUGCAAAACUCCCUAAACCAUUGUGAACGUUACCUAAACCGUUGCUUCGGCGGGCGGCCCGGGUCCUUCCCGGCGCCCAUCGGCCCUCGCGGGCGCCCGCCGGAGGUAAACCAAACUAUUGCAUUGUAUGGCCUCUCUGAGUCUUCUGUACUGAAUAAGUCAAAACUUUUAGCAACGGAUCUCAGAUCGGAAGAGC
rnacentral:misc_RNA from 1 species